GGGGCGGUGAUGAUUCCAACAUGCCAUCUGAGUAUCGGUGCUGAAAUCCAGAGGCUGUUUCUGAGCUA
ensembl:snoRNA